rnacentral:rRNA from 1 species
UUAAGUUAUUAAGGGCGCACGGUGGAUGCCUUGGCACUAGAAGCCGAUGAAGGACGUUACUAACGACGAUAUGCUUUGGGGAGCUGUAAGUAAGCUUUGAUCCAGAGAUUUCCGAAUGGGGAAACCCAGCAUGAGUUAUGUCAUGUUAUCGAUAUGUGAAUACAUAGCAUAUCAGAAGGCACACCCGGAGAACUGAAACAUCUUAGUACCCGGAGGAAGAGAAAGAAAAUUCGAUUCCCUUAGUAGCGGCGAGCGAAACGGGAAGAGCCCAAACCAACAAGCUUGCUUGUUGGGGUUGUAGGACACUCUGUACGGAGUUACAAAGGACGACAUUAGACGAAUCAUCUGGAAAGAUGAAUCAAAGAAGGUAAUAAUCCUGUAGUCGAAAAUGUUGUCUCUCUUGAGUGGAUCCUGAGUACGACGGAGCACGUGAAAUUCCGUCGGAAUCUGGGAGGACCAUCUCCUAAGGCUAAAUACUCUCUAGUGACCGAUAGUGAACCAGUACCGUGAGGGAAAGGUGAAAAGCACCCCGGAAGGGGAGUGAAAUAGAACCUGAAACCGUGUGCUUACAAGUAGUCAGAGCCCGUUAAUGGGUGAUGGCGUGCCUUUUGUAGAAUGAACCGGCGAGUUACGAUUUGAUGCAAGGUUAAGCAGUAAAUGUGGAGCCGUAGCGAAAGCGAGUCUGAAUAGGGCGUUUAGUAUUUGGUCGUAGACCCGAAACCAGGUGAUCUACCCUUGGUCAGGUUGAAGUUCAGGUAACACUGAAUGGAGGACCGAACCGACUUACGUUGAAAAGUGAGCGGAUGAACUGAGGGUAGCGGAGAAAUUCCAAUCGAACCUGGAGAUAGCUGGUUCUCUCCGAAAUAGCUUUAGGGCUAGCCUCAAGUGAUGAUUAUUGGAGGUAGAGCACUGUUUGGACGAGGGGCCCCUCUCGGGUUACCGAAUUCAGACAAACUCCGAAUGCCAAUUAAUUUAACUUGGGAGUCAGAACAUGGGUGAUAAGGUCCGUGUUCGAAAGGGAAACAGCCCAGACCACCAGCUAAGGUCCCAAAAUAUAUGUUAAGUGGAAAAGGAUGUGGCGUUGCCCAGACAACUAGGAUGUUGGCUUAGAAGCAGCCAUCAUUUAAAGAGUGCGUAAUAGCUCACUAGUCGAGUGACACUGCGCCGAAAAUGUACCGGGGCUAAACAUAUUACCGAAGCUGUGGAUUGUCCUUUGGACAAUGGUAGGAGAGCGUUCUAAGGGCGUUGAAGCAUGAUCGUAAGGACAUGUGGAGCGCUUAGAAGUGAGAAUGCCGGUGUGAGUAGCGAAAGACGGGUGAGAAUCCCGUCCACCGAUUGACUAAGGUUUCCAGAGGAAGGCUCGUCCGCUCUGGGUUAGUCGGGUCCUAAGCUGAGGCCGACAGGCGUAGGCGAUGGAUAACAGGUUGAUAUUCCUGUACCACCUAUAAUCGUUUUAAUCGAUGGGGGGACGCAGUAGGAUAGGCGAAGCGUGCGAUUGGAUUGCACGUCUAAGCAGUAAGGCUGAGUAUUAGGCAAAUCCGGUACUCGUUAAGGCUGAGCUGUGAUGGGGAGAAGACAUUGUGUCUUCGAGUCGUUGAUUUCACACUGCCGAGAAAAGCCUCUAGAUAGAAAAUAGGUGCCCGUACCGCAAACCGACACAGGUAGUCAAGAUGAGAAUUCUAAGGUGAGCGAGCGAACUCUCGUUAAGGAACUCGGCAAAAUGACCCCGUAACUUCGGGAGAAGGGGUGCUCUUUAGGGUUAACGCCCAGAAGAGCCGCAGUGAAUAGGCCCAAGCGACUGUUUAUCAAAAACACAGGUCUCUGCUAAACCGUAAGGUGAUGUAUAGGGGCUGACGCCUGCCCGGUGCUGGAAGGUUAAGGGGAGUGGUUAGCUUCUGCGAAGCUACGAAUCGAAGCCCCAGUAAACGGCGGCCGUAACUAUAACGGUCCUAAGGUAGCGAAAUUCCUUGUCGGGUAAGUUCCGACCCGCACGAAAGGCGUAACGAUUUGGGCACUGUCUCAACGAGAGACUCGGUGAAAUCAUAGUACCUGUGAAGAUGCAGGUUACCCGCGACAGGACGGAAAGACCCCGUGGAGCUUUACUGUAGCCUGAUAUUGAAAUUCGGCACAGCUUGUACAGGAUAGGUAGGAGCCUUUGAAACGUGAGCGCUAGCUUACGUGGAGGCGCUGGUGGGAUACUACCCUAGCUGUGUUGGCUUUCUAACCCGCACCACUUAUCGUGGUGGGAGACAGUGUCAGGCGGGCAGUUUGACUGGGGCGGUCGCCUCCUAAAAGGUAACGGAGGCGCUCAAAGGUUCCCUCAGAAUGGUUGGAAAUCAUUCAUAGAGUGUAAAGGCAUAAGGGAGCUUGACUGCGAGACCUACAAGUCGAGCAGGGUCGAAAGACGGACUUAGUGAUCCGGUGGUUCCGCAUGGAAGGGCCAUCGCUCAACGGAUAAAAGCUACCCCGGGGAUAACAGGCUUAUCUCCCCCAAGAGUUCACAUCGACGGGGAGGUUUGGCACCUCGAUGUCGGCUCAUCGCAUCCUGGGGCUGUAGUCGGUCCCAAGGGUUGGGCUGUUCGCCCAUUAAAGCGGUACGCGAGCUGGGUUCAGAACGUCGUGAGACAGUUCGGUCCCUAUCCGUCGUGGGCGUAGGAAAUUUGAGAGGAGCUGUCCUUAGUACGAGAGGACCGGGAUGGACAUACCUCUGGUGUACCAGUUGUCGUGCCAACGGCAUAGCUGGGUAGCUAUGUGUGGACGGGAUAAGUGCUGAAAGCAUCUAAGCAUGAAGCCCCCCUCAAGAUGAGAUUUCCCAACUUCGGUUAUAAGAUCCCUCAAAGAUGAUGAGGUUAAUAGGUUCGAGGUGGAAGCAUGGUGACAUGUGGAGCUGACGAAUACUAAUCGAUCGAAGACUUAAUCAA